GAGCACGUAGGUGGGUUUGUAAGUCAGACGUGAAAGCCUUCUGUUCAACGGAAGAAUUGCAUCUGAAACUACAAACCCUGAGUGUAGGAGGGGAGAAUGGAACUUUUGGUGGAGCGGUGAAAUGCGUAGAUAUCAGAAGGAACGCCGGCGGCGAAAGCGAUUCUCUGGCCUAUUACUGACACUCAGUGUGCGAGAGCUAGGGGAGCAAACGGGAUUAGAUACCCCGGUAGUCCUAGCCGUAAACGAUGGGCACUAAGUAGAGGGGUUUU
rnacentral:rRNA from 1 species